rnacentral:autocatalytically_spliced_intron from 1 species
GAAAGAAGCUUAUUCUUUGGCGUUCGAGAGACGAAAAAAUUAUUCGCGCUCAUCUCCCCGUUUGUCGUGAAAGGUUUCGAAUAUAAAUUGCCCCUUGACCCUGUAGAGACUACUCUGACUUCGUUCAAGUCAAGGUGAUGGUGUGCAGAAAUGGCAGUGAGUAUGUGCAUAAGCACAAACACCAUAAUACGCCGACCCCAAUUAUUUUGAAGCUCAAUAAUUGGGAUGAAGAUAUAGUCCGCACUCAUAGAAAUAUGGGA